rnacentral:rRNA from 1 species
AUAAGCAACUUUGUACUUGUGAGACUGCGAAUGGCUCAUUAUACCAGUAAUAGUUUAUUUGAUGGUCGAAAUUUACAUGGAUAACUGUGUGAAAACAGAGCUAAUACAUGCGAGAAGGGCGGGACCUGAGAGGGGCCGGUCUGUAUUUAUUAGUUUCCGAACCAGCGACAGCAAUGUCGGACGAACCGUUGGUGAUUCAUAGUAACUUGGCGAAGCGCACGCCCCAGCGGCGGCGCUAGUUCAUUCAAAUUUCUGCCCGAUCAACCUUCGAUUGCUGUGUAGUGGACAGCAAUGGUGAUAACCGGUGACGGGGAAUUAGGGUUCGAUACCGGAGAGGGAGCCUGAGAGACGGCUACCACUUCUACGGGAGGCAGCAGGCGCGCAAAUUACCCAAUCCCGAUUCGGGGAGGUAGUGACAAUAAAUAUCGAUGGUGAGCUACAAAGUUUACCAAUUGGAAUGAGAGUAAUGUAAAUGCCUUAACGAGUAACAAUU